UAAGCAUAUCAAUAAGCGGAGGAAAAGAAACCAACAGGGAUUGCCCCAGUAACGGCGAGUGAAGCGGCAACAGCUCAAAUUUGAAAUCUGGCCCCUCGGGCCCGAGUUGUAAUUUGUAGAGGAUGCUUUUGGCAAGGUGCCGCCCGAGUUCCCUGGAACGGGACGCCGCAGAGGGUGAGAGCCCCGUCUGGCUGGCCGCCGAGCCUCUGUAAAGCUCCUUCGACGAGUCGAGUAGUUUGGGAAUGCUGCUCAAAAUGGGAGGUAUAUGUCUUCUAAAGCUAAAUAUUGGCCAGAGACCGAUAGCGCACAAGUAGAGUGAUCGAAAGAUGAAAAGCACUUUGAAAAGAGGGUUAAACAGUACGUGAAAUUGUUGAAAGGGAAGCGCUCAUGACCAGACUUGGGCUUGGCGGAUCAUCCGGCGUUCUCGCCGGUGCACUUCGCCUCGCCCAGGCCAGCAUCAGUUCGCGCCGGGGGACAAAAGCUUCGGGAAUGUGGCUCCUCCGGGAGUGUUAUAGCCCGUUGCAUAAUACCCUGGUGCGGACUGAGGUUCGCGCAUCUGCAAGGAUGCUGGCGUAAUGGUCAUCAGCGACCCGUCCUGAAACACGGACCAAGGAGUCGUCUUCGUAUGCGAGUGUUCGGGUGUCAAACCCCUACGCGUAAUGAAAGUGAACGCAGGUGAGAGCUUCGGCGCAUCAUCGACCGAUCCUGAUGUUCUCGGAUGGAUUUGAGUAAGAGCAUACGGGGCCGGACCCGAAAGAAGGUGAACUAUGCCUGUAUAGGGUGAAGCCAGAGGAAACUCUGGUGGAGGCUCGCAGCGGUUCUGACGUGCAAAUCGAUCGUCAAAUAUGGGCAUGGGGGCGAAAGACUAAUCGAACCUUCUAGUAGCUGGUUUCCGCCGA
rnacentral:rRNA from 1 species